rnacentral:piRNA from 1 species
UGAGAAGCAGGAUCAUGGGGUCC